rnacentral:rRNA from 1 species
AACGAACGCUGGCGGCAUGCCUAACACAUGCAAGUCGAACGGGAUCUUCGGGUCUAGUGGCGCACGGGUGCGUAACGCGUGGGAAUCUGCCCUUUGGUUCGGAAUAACAGUUGGAAACGACUGCUAAUACCGGAUGAUGACGAAAGUCCAAAGAUUUAUCGCCAGAGGAUGAGCCCGCGUAGGAUUAGCUAGUUGGUGUGGUAAAGGCGCACCAAGGCGACGAUCCUUAGCUGGUCUUAGAGGAUGAUCAGCCACACUGGGACUGAGACACGGCCCAGACUCCUACGGGAGGCAGCAGUGGGGAAUAUUGGACAAUGGGCGAAAGCCUGAUCCAGCAAUGCCGCGUGAGUGAUGAAGGCCUUAGGGUUGUAAAGCUCUUUUACCCGGGAUGAUAAUGACAGUACCGGGAGAAUAAGCUCCGGCUAACUCCGUGCCAGCCGCCGCAGUAA